CAUGUAGGCGGAUUGAUAAGUUUGAAGUGAAAUCCUAUAGCUUAACUAUAGAACUGCUUUGAAAACUGUUAAUCUAGAAUGUGGGAGAGGUAGAUGGAAUUUCUGGUGUAGGGUAAAUCCGUGGAGAUCAGAAAGAAUACCUAUUGCGAAGGCGAUCUACUGGAACAUUAUUGACGCUGAGAUGCGAAAGCGUGGGGAGCAAACA
rnacentral:rRNA from 1 species